rnacentral:rRNA from 1 species
AACGAACGCUGGCGGCAGGCUUAACACAUGCAAGUCGAACACAUCCUUCGGGGUGAGUGGCAGACGGGUGAGUAACGCGUGGGAACGUGCCCUUCAGUUCGGGAUAACCCAGGGAAACUUGGGCUAAUACCGGAUACGUGCGAGAGCAGAAAGAUUUAUCGCUGAAGGAUCGGCCCGCGUCUGAUUAGCUAGUUGGUGGGGUAAUGGCCCACCAAGGCGACGAUCAGUAGCUGGUCUGAGAGGAUGAUCAGCCACAUUGGGACUGAGACACGGCCCAAACUCCUACGGGAGGCAGCAGUGGGGAAUAUUGGACAAUGGGCGCAAGCCUGAUCCAGCCAUGCCGCGUGAGGGAUGACGGCCUUCGGGUUGUAAACCUCUUUUAGCAGGGAAGAAGCGAAAGUGACGGUACCUGCAGAAAAAGCACCGGCUAACUACGUGCCAGCAGCCGCCGUAA